AGCGAACGCUGGCGGCAGGCCUAACACAUGCAAGUCGAACGGCAGCACAGUAAGUGCUUGCUCUUACGGGUGGCGAGUGGCGGACGGGUGAGGUAUACAUCGGAAUCUACUUUUUCGUGGGGGAUAACGUAGGGAAACUUACGCCAAUACAGCAUACGACCUACGGGUGAAAGCAGGGGAUCGUCGCACCUUGCGCGAUUGAAUGAGCCGAUGUCGGACUAGCUAGUUGGCGGGGUAAAGGCCCACCAAGGCGACGAUCCGUAGCUGGUCUGAGAGGAUGAUCGGCCACACUGGAACUGAGACACGGUCCAGACUCCUACGGGAGGCAGCAGUGGGGAAUAUUGGACAGUGGGCGCAAGCCUGAUCCAGCCAUACCGCGUGGGUGGAGAAGGCCUUCGGGUUGUAAAGCCCUUUUGUUGGGAAAGAAAAGCAGCAGGUUAAUACCCCGCUGUUCUGACGGUACCCAAAGAAUAAGCACCGGCUAACUUCGUG
rnacentral:rRNA from 1 species